rnacentral:rRNA from 1 species
UGGGGAAUUGUUCGCAAUGGGCGCAAGCCUGACGACGCAACGCCGCGUGGAGGAUGAAGACCUUCGGGUCGUAAACUCCUUUCGAUCGAGACGAAUGGCCUUCGGGUUAACAGCCCGAAGGAGUGACGGUACCGAGAGAAGAAGCCCCGGCUAACUCCGUGCCAGCAGCCGCGGUAAUACGGGGGGGGCAAGCGUUGUUCGGAAUUACUGGGCGUAAAGGGCUCGUAGGCGGCCAACUAAGUCAGACGUGAAAUCCCUCGGCUUAACCGGGGAACUGCAUCUGAUACUGGAUGGCUUGAGUUCGGGAGAGGGAUGUGGAAUUCCAGGUGUAGCGGUGAAAUGCGUAGAUAUCUGGAGGAACACCGGUGGCGAAGGCGGCAUCCUGGACCGACUCUGACGCUGAGGAGCGAAAGCCAGGGGAGCAAACGG